ACCACACAGGCAUUGGCUGAUCCCCAUGGAGCAUGAAGUCCCAGAGCCACAGUGACCCCCUUACUCCAGGUCACACUGCCUCUACUUCCCUGUCUGUGCCAGACGUUUGGUUUUAUUUGGGAAGUAGCUUGCUGCCCUCCACCUGGAUUUGACAGAUUAAACAAAUGGAAACACAGGACACUCAAUGACGUGAGUGUCACAAAAUUAGUGAUCCUUUUUCAGGACAGAUCAUGCAGUAUUUGCGAUAUGCUUCUACAAAGAAAUUGCUUGUUUAUCUGAAACCCAAACUUCAUUGGCGUGGGCAUUCUACAUUUUGUCUGGUAGCCCUACCUCCGCUCCCAGCAAGGCCCUUCCAUACUCCACACAUCCUGGUGAUCUCAGCACCAGGACAGAGCCCUGGUCCACCAUCUGAGGCCCAACUGGCCUCCCACCCAGCUCUGACAGCCACCUUCAAGGACUUAAUGGUCCCCAAAGAUGACCUCUUCUCACCCUAGGCUCUGCCUUCAUCACCUUGCCUUGUACGCCGUGUAAAUUCCUGUUCAUCCGUCUUGUCACAAUGCCACUUCCUCCCAGAAGUCUUGCUUGACCACUACACGUGAACAGGCACUGGUUCACUUUUUCAUCCCUUUGGGCUCCCUGAACACAGUGAUUACAAUGUUAUCACAACUGGUGUGUGUUUAAUAUGCUUCUAAGGCAAAAGAACAGAGAGAAGAAAGGUUCAUAGGUAAAUAAGAAGUGGUCCAGUGGCACACGGCUGAGUGGAUGUGAGGUAAAGGCAGAAUCUGCUCUCUGGGAUUCAGUCUCCAAGGACCCCUCAUUGUACACCUACCUAAAUAUAUUUGGACUUUAAAAGUAAGUGGACUUGUUUUGUUUUAACUACCAGGAUAAUGGUCAAAUGGAAUUUGUCAAUUAGACUUGCUCAAAUUCAGAUCCGAGCUCUGCUGUAUACUAGCUGUAUAACUUUGAACCAGUUGCUACUCCACUGUGCCUCAGGCUUCUCACCUGUAAGAUGGGCAUAAGAAAAGGACCACCUUGGGAAGGCUGCUGAGAGAAGAUAGAAAGUCAAAACUUUGAAAGUAAUUAUGGCAAUGCCUAAAACAUGCUGCCAAGGAGCUAUGGGGAAGGAAGGAAGGAGGGAAGGAAAGAAGGAAGUAGGGAAAGGCGGCCUCCAGAGUCUGCUCUGACACAACAGGAAAGGCUGGCAGUGCCAGGAGCCAGUACUUCAGUCUGCAGCCCAAGGCUCCCAGGGUUUGUCAGAGGUGUCCUUCGUUAUGAGUGAUUUUGGCUUUCCAGGCUGGUGGCUGUGAAUACGUCCUCAGAGGACUGUAACUGUCCUAGUCCCGGGUUUUAAUCUCAUCCUGCCUUUUCUCGUGUGUGACCUUGACCAAGGCAGUGAAGCCGUGCUCAUUUCGGCUACUGAAUGGAGAUGUGACGCCCACCGGCAGGGCCCAAGCAGAGAGCACAGCGCUGAUUCACAGUCGCAGAGACUCUGGAUCUUGUGGCGCUGUUACUUCUACCCUUCAGCAGCUCUUCCUGGAAACAAAGGGCAACCUGAAGAAACCCUCUAAGGUAACCCACUCCCCGCCUCAUCCAAACUCCAACCCCCGGCCUCACUCAGUAGCUGUCCCGGUCCUUGUCACUGGGGAGACAGAUUCAAAGCUUGGCCCUCCAUCUCUUCAUACUUGGCAGCAUCAUGAACAAACUCUUUUUGUAAAAUCCAUCCAUUUGAGUGAGUGGCAGGCAGCACCUUGUUCAGUGACAUUAUUACAGAGUGCUUUAUUCUCAGUGCACAUGCAGGCUGGGGGCCGCUGAGGACUGAGCUCCAAGUCAGCCCGAUCACCAUGACCAAGUCUGUCCCAGAGCCAAAGAAAGGGCCAAGCAAACAGGAAAGCAGAGGGAAGCCAGGAGACAGCACCAGCCCUCUCCCGCUCCUUCCUGCCUGACAAGGAUCUGAUCAGAGAAGAGGAUCACAAGCCCUGUGCGCUCUCCUGUUUCCGGAAUCUCAACUUAGGCUUCCGAGUCUAACCUGUAAUCCAAGUACAGCACGAAGCCAAUGUGGAUGAGUUAAUGUUCCUACGGAAAUUCGACUAAGGUCAGAAAAAGUUCUUUCCCUCAUAGAACUUGCAUUCUUGACAGUUUAAAUCUUCUGGUCGCUCAUUUCUCAAAGCAUCAUCAGCAGAGCUGGUUAGAAAUGCAGAAUGUGAGCUACUUGGACCACCUGACUCACAAUCUGCAUUGCCACAAGACCCCUGGGAAUCCGCAUGACUUGACAAGGAUUACUUGAGUUUCUAAAGGAUUUAGAAGAGCCGUUUCUGUGUGCACUUCCCCAUGAUGUACCCAUCUUUUCAUUGAGUAUUAAAACAGUUCCUUCUUCCUUUCCCA